AAUAUUAAAAGCUAAGGUAGUUGUUAUCAUCGACGCAUUAAAAAAGGAAAAAAUUAUCAAUUUAAAUUUAUCACAUAUUGACUUACCAAGAAGUGUUCGCUCCGUUAACAAUCCACGCAGUACUUUUACAAAACCGGUCUGUGGUGGUCUAUUUCAAGGUUUAAUUAUUUUAUACCAAAUAUAACAGUAAUUCUUAUAAGCGUCUUUUUAGAGCUGAAUUAUAAUUGAGUUUUAAAAUGUCCGGUCAAAUUGAAAACAUAAAAUCAGCUGUAAAAGAAGCAUUGUAUGAUGAAUCGAAACCAUGGACCAAUCUUUUUGCAUGGGCUGAAGUACAAACUGGUGUCAAUCGAUUAAAUUUAUUCUUAGGGUUAACAGUUUUUACUGUAUUUUAUUUGGUAAUUGGUUAUGGAACUUUGUUAUUAAGCAAUUUUAUUGGUUUCUUAUAUCCUGCGUAUGCAUCAAUUAAAGCAGUUGAAUCACAUUCUAAGGAUGAUGACACUAAAUGGUUGACUUAUUGGGUGGUAUUUUCAUUUGUUACUAUUGUUGAGUUUCCGGCUCAGUGUAUUCUUAGUUGGAUACCAUUUUAUUCAUUAGUAAAGACUAUUUUCUUUGUUUGGUGUUACAUACCAAUUCAUAAUAAUGGUUCCAUUGUUAUGUAUAAUAGAUUUAUUCGUCCAUAUUUUUUAAAGCAUCAAAGUGAUAUUGAUCAAGCAGUCAAUGAUUUAUCUAAGAAAGCUGCUGAGGUAGCUGCUGAUAAAAUACUUGACAAGAAAAACUAAAUUACAGGAAUUAAAAAAAUAUAUGUUACAACUUGUACAGAUUUAUGAAUUUUAAAAGGUUAAAGUAAAGAUUAUAUUAUGUUUUUUAUUAUACAUGGAAAAACAAUGUCCUCACAAGUUGGAUUUAGCCAUUAGUCUAGCUUUUGUUUACUAGUGAUUAUAUUGUUUUGUUAUAAUUGUAAUUGUAUUUUAAUUCUUCAUAAUAAAGUUAUUUUUAAAAAUA